AACGAACGCUGGCGGCAGGCCUAACACAUGCAAGUCGAGCGAGGACUUCGGUUCUAGCGGCGGACGGGUGAGUAACGCGUGGGAAUGUGCCCUUCUCUACGGAAUAGCCCUGGGAAACUGGGAGUAAUACCGUAUACGCCCUUUUGGGGAAAGAUUUAUCGGAGAAGGAUCAGCCCGCGUUGGAUUAGGUAGUUGGUGGGGUAAUGGCCUACCAAGCCGACGAUCCAUAGCUGGUUUGAGAGGAUGAUCAGCCACACUGGGACUGAGACACGGCCCAGACUCCUACGGGAGGCAGCAGUGGGGAAUCUUAGACAACGGGGGCAACCCUGAUCUAGCCAUGCCGCGUGAGUGAUGAAGGCCUUAGGGUUGUAAAGCUCUUUCAGCUGGGAAGAUAAUGACGGUACCAGCAGAAGAAGCCCCGGCUAACUCCGUG
rnacentral:rRNA from 1 species